rnacentral:rRNA from 1 species
UACGUAGGGGGCAAGCGUUGUCCGGAAUCAUUGGGCGUAAAGAGCGUGUAGGCGGCCAGAUAAGUCCGCUGUGAAAACUCGAGGCUCAACUUCGAGCUGUCGGUGGAAACUAUUUGGCUAGAGUCCGGAAGAGGAGAGUGGAAUUCCUGGUGUAGCGGUGAAAUGCGCAGAUAUCAGGAAGAACACCCGUGGCGAAGGCGGCUCUCUGGUACGGAACUGGCGCUGAGACGCGAAAGCGUGGGGAGCGAACAGG